UACGAAGGGGGCUAGCGUUGCUCGGAAUCACUGGGCGUAAAGGGCGCGUAGGCGGCCUGUUAAGUCGAACGUGAAAUCCCCGGGCUCAACCCGGGAACUGCGUCCGAUACUGGCAGGCUUGAAUUCGGGAGAGGGAUGUGGAAUUCCAGGUGUAGCGGUGAAAUGCGUAGAUAUCUGGAGGAACACCGGUGGCGAAGGCGGCAUCCUGGACCGAUAUUGACGCUGAUGCGCGAAAGCCAGGGGAGCAAACGGG
rnacentral:rRNA from 1 species